CCUUGCAUUUUCCUCCUGCCUAGGGUUCGUGUCUCUGUUUCUUUUUGUCUCUCCCCCAUUCUAUCGUUCAAAUUCCAUCUCGAUGUGCUCUCUCUCUCUCUCUCUCUCUCUCUCUCUCUCUCUCUCUCUCUCUCUCUCUCUCUCUCUCUCUCUCUCUCUCUCUCUCUCUCUCUCUCAUGCCAUUGUUGUGCUCCAAUGCAUUAGUAAGUUGUCUUCUCCCUUUUUGGAAUGGUUUCUUUUGUUGGCCUUUUUGUCUUUUGAGCUUUGUCUUGAUUUUAAAUUCAAUUUGGGUAUUUUCAGUUUGAGCCUUUGUCUCUCUCCCCGAUCUCUCUCACACCUCUCUAUCUCCAUUUCACUCUCAACCUUUUUCUCUUUCCAAAAAAACUAUAGAUGGAGGUCAUCUUCCUUGAUUUAUCUCCACUUUCAACUUAGGCCCUGAUCUCCAUUGAAGGAGGUCUUGUUUUGUGUUCAUCUGCGAUUUGGAAGAGGAUUUAUAUGCUUUGUUCUUCUGACGGUGUGUUUUCUUGAUUUUCUCUUAAUUUUUUCAGUUUCCCCCCCUGUGGUUUGGGAGCUUGUUUUGAUUAUUGUUUGUUUGGGGAUUUCUUCAAUGAGGGUUUUGGGCUAACUUUCUGGGUUCGUGUGAGCAUUGUGCAAAUUGAUUUUUCAAUGAUGCUCAAAAUCAUAUAUGGAUCUCUCUCUCUCUCUCUCUCUCUCUCUCUCUCUCUCUCUCUCUCUCUCUCUCUCUCUCUCUCUCUCUCUCAUUACCAAAUGGCCAAAGGCAAUAAUAGGAUUGUGUUAUUGAGAGGUUUUUGUUUAUGAAAUAGAGUUGAUCUAAAAAGUUGGUUAGGACUGAGCUGUGGGGUGGAUAUGGUGAGUAGAGUGUUCUCUUGUGCUAUAUGCUUAUUUUGUUCUUCAAUAAGGGUUUUGAUUAUUCAUUUUCUUAUGAUUUAGGCAUGUUGCUUCUUUCCUCCAUUUUAGUUUGUAUAUUCUUGUACAUUCUUUUCAUAUAUUUUUUUUUUCUUUUUGAUUAGUUGAGACAACAUUUAUAUUGGAUUCGUAGCCUUGUGAGUUUCAAUUUGUAUUUCUCGUAUUAAUCCAUAUAUUCUUGCCCUAUGGUGUUCCCGAUCUAUUGAUGCUUAAAAUUGUUUCCAAUGUUUUGAUAGUGAGUGUUGUGACUUGUUGAAGACAUUCACAAUUUAUUGAGAAUUUUUUUUUAAAAAAAAAAAAUGAAGAUUCUAACCUGGAAGACUAGGAAGUGGGUGGAAUGGAGUUUGAUAACUGAUUUUGUAUACAUUUUUUGAGCUUUGGGUUACGUUUGUGGGCAUUUACGAAUUAUUGAAAAAUUAGACACAACACAGCAUAUGAAGUGGGUGAUUGGAGAUGAUUUUGUCCUAAUAGUAGCAGUGCUCAUAUUGAGAUGAUGCUUAAGCUGUGUGUCCAACAUGUAUGGCCUUAUCAGCCAAAUAGAUGGAUUGAGAAUAAUGGAGAUUAUGACAAGACUCGUGCAUUUUAAUUAUCGAGCAAGAGAAAUGGGUUAAUGAAGUAUGAGUAUGAUCAAUUGAAUGCCUUUUAUAGUCUGAGUUUUAGUCUCCUACAUUUAUAAACUUUAUCCUUAUGUUACUUUAUGUUACUUUUUUCAUGGAGUUGUAAGAAUGUUAGCUAACUUUAAUUGAGGAUAUUACUAUAGGACACAUUGUAGCGGCAAAGCAACGUUAUAGAUGUUAAAUCAAGGUGACAAUUGAAUGGUUCAAGCACAUCUGUCAGCAACAACUAAAGAGAGCCUUGGAUGAUCAUGUCAGGUUUUGUACUUUGAUGGAUGAUCAUGUCAGGUUUUAUACUUUGAUGUGUCUUGAGAAGUCUAAAGUUACAAAUAUAAUGUAAUUUUUUAAAAAAAAAAAAUAAUGCAUUUAUUAAUAACAGACAUUAUAACUUUGACCUAAAAUAUACAUUACAAGCCAACUAUAACAUUAAUAGCUCUCCAAUACACAAUUGUAACUGACAUGGUCUAGAAUAUAAUAUAAUUGCUUUAUAGAUUGUAAUAUAAUGUAAUUGGUUAGAAUAAAAAGUAAGUACUUUGUAUAAUUGCUUUAUGAACUGUUAUAUGUAAAAAGUAAUGUAAUUUUUUAUUUUUUAUUUUUAUGUAUUUUGUGACAAUAGUUUCGGAUUUGGCAAUAAAAUUUUUCUAGAAAAUUGUUUA